rnacentral:rRNA from 1 species
CAAGGAAUUUUCCCCAAUGGGCGCAAGCCUGAGGGAGCAACGCCGCGUGGAGGACGACGGCCUUCGGGUUGUAAACUCCUUUUCGGAGGGAAGAGAUGGACGGUACCUCCGGAAUCAGCCCCGGCUAACUCUGUGCCAGCAGCCGCGGUAAGACAGAGGGGGCAAGCGUUGUCCGGACUGACUGGGCGUAAAGCGCGCGCAGGCGGUCAGAGGCGUCGGUGCUCAAAGUCCACCGCUUAACGGUGGGAGGCGUGCCGAUACGCUCUGACUGGAGGGCGGGCGAGGGUGGUGGAAUUGCCGGUGUAGUGGUGAAAUGCGUAGAGAUCGGCAGGAACACCAGUGGCGAAGGCGGCCACCUAGCCCGCACCUGACGCUGAAGCGCGACAGCGUGGGGAGCGAACUGGAUUAGAUACCCAGGUAGUCCACGCCGUAAACGAUGCCGACUCGGUCUUCGUGGGGCGAAUAGCCCUGGGGGGGCCCGAGCUCACGCGCUAAGUCGGCCGCCUGGGGACUACGAGCGCAAGCUUAA